rnacentral:lncRNA from 1 species
CAGGUGUUGCUGAGGUGGUAGCAGGGUCGGUCCCCGUGAUCCCUGCCGCAGUACUGGCAGAUCUUCCCACGUGUUGCCCCCGUAGCCUGAGGAGGGGCUUGGAUGGCGGGUCUGGGCCUCUUACUGGGUUGGAUAGGCAUGGUAGGUGCUGGCCUGCGGAGCGGGGCUGAGGGUCGGGAACUCCCCGCUAGCUGAGGGUAGGUGUCGAAGCUCCUUUAUAUGAUCUGCACCUUUACCAGGACUGCUGAAUAUGUCUCGAGCUCCAUUACCAGUAAGUGCUGUCUGAUCUCCGGGCGGAGACCCCACUGGAAUUUCCUGGCCUUUCGGCCCUCAUCCAUCAAUGUCUCUG